UAGGGAAUCUUCCACAAUGGACGAAAGUCUGAUGGAGCAACGCCGCGUGAGUGAAGAAGGUUUUCGGAUCGUAAAACUCUGUUGUAAGGGAAGAACAAGUACAGUAGUAACUGGCUGUACCUUGACGGUACCUUAUUAGAAAGCCACGGCUAACUACGUG
rnacentral:rRNA from 1 species